UACGUAGGUGGCAAGCGUUUGUCCGGAAUCACUGGGCGUAAAGCGCGCGCAGGCGGCGAUCUACGUCUGGGGGUGAAAGCCCGGAGCUCAACUCCGGGACUGCCUUGGAUACGGGAUCGCUUGAGGAUUGGAGAGGCAAGGGGAAUUCCACGUGUAGCGGUGAAAUGCGUAGAUAUGUGGAGGAACACCUGUGGCGAAGGCGCCUUGCUGGCCAAUUUCUGACGCUGAGGCGCGAAAGCGUGGGGGAGCAAACAGG
rnacentral:rRNA from 1 species